CGUAAAGAACCUGCCUCAUAGACUGGGACAACUAUUGGAAACGAUAGCUAAUACCGGAUAACAGUAUUUCUCGCAUGGGAGAUAUUUAAAAGUUGGUUAUGCUAACACUAUGAGAUGGCUUUGCGGUGCAUUAGCUAGUUGGUGGGGUAAAGGCCCACCAAGGCGACGAUGCAUAGCCGACCUGAGAGGGUGAUCGGCCACACUGGGACUGAGACACGGCCCAG
rnacentral:rRNA from 1 species